rnacentral:rRNA from 1 species
GACGAACGCUGGCGGCGUGCUUAACACAUGCAAGUCGAACGGAAAGGCCCUGCUUUUGUGGGGUGCUCGAGUGGCGAACGGGUGAGUAACACGUGAGUAACCUGCCCUUGACUUUGGGAUAACUUCAGGAAACUGGGGCUAAUACCGGAUAGGAGCUCCUGCUGCAUGGUGGGGGUUGGAAAGUUUCGGCGGUUGGGGAUGGACUCGCGGCUUAUCAGCUUGUUGGUGGGGUAGUGGCUUACCAAGGCUUUGACGGGUAGCCGGCCUGAGAGGGUGACCGGCCACAUUGGGACUGAGAGACGGCCCAGACUCCUACGGGAGGCAGCAGUGGGGAAUAUUGCACAAUGGGCGGAAGCCGGAUGCAGCAACGCCGCGUGCGGGAUGACGGCCUUCGGGUUGUAAACCGCUUUCGCCUGUGACGAAGCGUGAGUGACGGGAAUGGGUAAAGAAGCACCGGCUAACUACGU